UAGGGAAUCUUCGGCAAUGGACGAAAGUCUGACCGAGCAACGCCGCGUGAGUGAAGAAGGUUUUCGGAUCGUAAAACUCUGUUGGUAGAGAAGAACGUUGGUGAGAGUGGAAAGCUCAUCAAGUGACGGUAACUGCCCAGAAAGGGACGGCUAACUACGUGCCGG
rnacentral:rRNA from 1 species